AUACGUAGGGAGCGAGCGUUGUCCGGAAUUACUGGGUGUAAAGGGAGCGUAGGCGGGACAGCAAGUUGGAUGUUUAAACUAUCGGCUUAACCGGUAACUGCAUCCAAAACUGCAGUUCUUGAGUGAAGUAGAGGCAGGCGGAAUUCCUAGUGUAGCGGUGAAAUGCGUAGAUAUUAGGAGGAACACCAGUGGCGAAGGCGGCCUGCUGGGCUUUAACUGACGCUGAGGCUCGAAAGCGUGGGGAGC
rnacentral:rRNA from 1 species